GUUCAAGCUACCAAGGGUCUACGGUGGAUGCCUUGGUGUCGAGAGCCGAUGAAGGACGUAGCAGGCUGCGAAAGCCCCGGGUAGCUGUCAAGCAAGCUCCGAUCCGGGGGUGUCCGAAUGGGGAAACCUAGCUGGGGUAAUGCCCAGUUACUCCGGUCUGAACACAUAGGGCCGGUUGAGGCAACCGGGUGAAUUGAAACAUCUAAGUAACCCGAGGAACGGAAAGCAACAGCGACUCCCUGAGUAGUGGCGAGCGAAACGGGAAGAGCCUAAACCGAUGUGGUGUGAUAGCCCGAUGGCGUUGCCAUAUCGGUGUUGAGGGACCCGUCAGCCGGCGCGUCGGAGCCGGCAGGAAGUUACAAAGCCAGGUGAUAGUAGAACAAGUCUGGAAAGGCUGGCCACAGAAGGUAAUAGCCCUGUAUACGAAAUCGCACUGGUCUUCCGACGGUGAUCCCGAGUAGCGUCGGGGAUAUCUGGCGUGAAUCUGCGAGGACCACCUCGUAAGGCUAAGUACUACUCGGCGACCGAUAGCGGACAAGUACCGUGAGGGAAAGGUGAAAAGAACCCCGGCGAGGGGAGUGAAAUAGUACCUGAAACCGUAGACCUACAAGCAGUGGGAGGGAGCUUCGGCUCCUGACCGCCUGCCUUUUGAAGAAUGAGCCGGCGAGUUAGUGCUAUGUGGCAAGGUUAAGGCAUGGGCCGGAGCCGCAGCGAAAGCGAGUCUGAAUAGGGCGUACAGUCGCAUGGUCUAGACCCGAAGCCGAGUGAUCUAUCCAUGGGCAGGGUGAAGCGAGGGUAAGACCUCGUGGAGGCCCGAACCCACCUAGGUUGAAAACUGGGGGGAUGACCUGUGGAUAGGGGUGAAAGGCCAAACAAACUCGGUGAUAGCUGGUUCUCCCCGAAAUAGCUUUAGGGCUAGCGUCGCGCGUUCCACUAUGGGGGUAGAGCACUGAUUGGGCUAGGGGGCUUACCAGCUUACCAACCUCAGUCAAACUCCGAAUCUCAUAGUGCUAGAGCGCGGCAGUCAGACCGUGUGGGAUGAGCUUCACGGUCGAAAGGGAAACAGCCCAGAUCGCCAGCUAAGGCCCCUAAGUGUGUGCUAAGUGGGAAACGAGGUGGGAUCGCAGAAACAGCCAGGAGGUUGGCUUAGAAGCAGCCAUUCCUUGAAAGAGUGCGUAACAGCUCACUGGUCGAGUGGUCCUGCGCGGAAAAUGUAACGGGGCUCAAGCACACCGCCGAAGCUGCGGGAUUCCAUCAAUACUCUGACGUGUACGCGUCCAGAGGAUGGGAUCGGUAGGGGAGCGUCGAGCAGCCGGAGAAUCAGCGGCGCAAGCCAGCUGUGGAGGCUGCUCGAGUGAGAAUGCCGGUAUGAGUAGCGAGAGUGGAGUGAGAAUCUCCACCGCCGAAAGUCCAAGGGUUCCUGGGGAAGGCUCGUCCGCCCAGGGUUAGUCGGGACCUAAGGCGAGGCCGAUAGGCGUAGUCGAUGGACAACUGGUUGAUAUUCCAGUACCACCAUGCAAGCGUCCGGACUGAGCGCAGCUUGCUAAGGAGAGCCCUUCGGGGCCCUCCGACCCAGCGGCGGGAGGUCAGCAAUGGGAUGACGCGGAAGGGUAGGUGGACCCGGGCGUUGGUUGCCCCGGGGUAAGUGUGUAGGGCGAGGUCCAGGCAAAUCCGGACCUCAUGAAGCCAGAGGCACGAUGCCGAGCCGCUAUAGGCGAAGCCACUGAACGCCCAUGCCGCCGAGAAAACUCUCUAGCGAGUUUGUAUGGUGCCCGUACCCCAAACCGACACAGGUGGACAGGUAGAGAAUACCAAGGCGAGCGAGAUAACUCUGGUUAAGGAACUAGGCAAAAUGGUUCCGUAACUUCGGGAGAAGGAUCGCCCCGGUAAAGUGAAGGAUGUACAUCCUGAGCUUGAGGGGGCUGCAGUGACCAGGCCCGAGCGACUGUUUACUAAAAACACAGCAGCGUGCUAAGUCGCAAGACGCUGUAUACGCUGUGACGCCUGCCCGGUGCCGGAAGGUUAAGAGGGGGGGUUAGCCUAGGCGAAGCUCUGAAUCUAAGCCCCGGUAAACGGCGGCCGUAACUAUAACGGUCCUAAGGUAGCGAAAUUCCUUGUCGGGUAAGUUCCGACCUGCACGAAUGGCGUAACGACUUGGGUACUGUCUCAACCAGAGACUCGGCGAAAUUGCAUUGUGAGUAAAGAUGCUCACUACCUGCGACAGGACGGAAAGACCCCGGAACCUUUACUGCAGCUUGACAUUGAUGUCUGGUAUACACUGUGUAGGAUAGGUGGGAGACAAAGAAGCGGUGCCGCCAGGUACCGUGGAGUCAACCUUGAAAUACCACCCUCUGUAUGGCGGGCACCUAACUUGGGUCCGUAAUCCGGAUCGAGGACAGUGUCUGGCGGGCAGUUUCACUGGGGCGGUGGCCUCCUAAAGAGUAACGGAGGCGCUCAAUGGUUCCCUCAGUCUGGUCGGCAAUCAGACGGCGAGUGCAAUGGCACAAGGGAGCUUGACUGUGAGACUUACAAGUCGAACAGGGACGAAAGUCGGACAUAGUGAUCCUACCGUGGCACGUGGAAGCGCGGUGGCUUAACGGCUAAAAGGUACUCCGGGGAUAACAGGCUUAUACCCCCCAAGAGUCCAUAUCGACGGGGGUGUUUGGCACCUCGAUGUCGGCUCGUCGCAUCCUGGGGCUGAAGCAGGUCCCAAGGGUCGGGCUGUUCGCCCGUUAAAGCGGCACGCGAGCUGGGUUUAGAACGUCGUGAGACAGUUCGGUCCCUAUCCGUCGCAGGCGCAGGAGAUUUGAGAGGAUCUGUCCCUAGUACGAGAGGACCGGGAUGGACGUACCUAUGGUGUGCCAGUUGUCCUGCCAAGGGCACGGCUGGUUAGCUACGUACGGACAGGAUAAGCGCUGAAGGCAUCUAAGUGCGAAGCCCACCUCGAGAUGAGAUCUCCCACCGGGUAAACCGGGUAAGGACCCUGGUAGAACACCAGGUUGAUAGGCCGGAAGUGUAAGCGCAGCAAUGUGUUCAGCGGACCGGUACUAAUAGUCCGAGGGCUUGAUAUU
rnacentral:rRNA from 1 species